rnacentral:rRNA from 1 species
GAGUAUUCGGGUUCCGGGGGGAGUAUGGUCGCAAGGCCGAAACUUAAAGGAAUUGACGUAAGGAUUGACGGACUGAAGGCUCUUUCUCGAUUCCGUGGAAAGUGGUGCAUGGCCGUUUUGGUUGGUGGAUCGAUCCGUCUGGUUAAUUCCGUUAACGAACGAGACCUCGGCACUCCGAAUAGCGCGGCGGACGUCGCGGCCUCCGGGCCGUCUUCCGCACGAGCUUCUUAGAGGGACCGUCCCCCGCCGGGGAAGGAGGUGCGAGGCAACGACAGGUCUGUGAUGCCCUUAGAUGUUCUGGGCCGCACGCGCAUUACACUGACGCGUCCAACGGGUGACUCCCGACCCGAAGGGGCCGGGGAAUCCGCAAGGCGCGUCGUGAUGGGGAUUGAACGUUGCAAUUGUUGUUCACGAACGAGGAAUUCCUAGUAGGCGCGGGGUCAUCAACCCGCGCCGAUUACGUCCCUGCCCUUUGUACACACCGU